AAUAAUCUAUACAUGUUUUAAUAUAUGUCUGAAUUAGUAAGUCGUAAAGAAAGUGACCAAAUAACGAGUGAAUAAACGAGCAGUAUUUAUACACCACUGAGCCAUUAAACUCAAGUUUUGUUACUACAGUCUCCAGUAUUGUAAAUUGUUUUGCUGCCUUCAACGGAAAGCUAAAAAUGAACCUCAGUACAGUUUGUAAAAUGCUAAAAAUAUAGCGCAAACAAGUAUCUAAAGCGUUUAGCGACGCCAGCAUCGUUCUUUUCAGAAUGUGUUGACAAAUAUCUAGAAACCCAGUUCCAAUACCUGACAAAAAGUAGACUGGGGAUGCCGUGA